rnacentral:rRNA from 1 species
AUUGAACGCUGGCGGCAUGCUUUACACAUGCAAGUCGAACGGCAGCACAGCAGAGGUAACUCUGUGGGUGGCGAGUGGCGAACGGGUGAGUACUACAUCGGAACGUACCCUGUUGUGGGGGAUAACUACGCGAAAGCGUAGCUAAUACCGCAUACGCCCUGAGGGGGAAAGCGGGGGGACCCUAAAUAGAGCGCACUGGGGAGUGCGUUGUAUUUAGGGCCUCGCGCAAUAGGAGCGGCCGAUGUCGGAUUAGCUAGUUGGUGAGGUAAAGGCUUACCAAGGCGACGAUCCGUAGCUGGUCUGAGAGGAUGAUCAGCCACACUGGGACUGAGACACGGCCCAGACUCCUACGGGAGGCAGCAGUGGGGAAUUUUGGACAAUGGGGGCAACCCUGAUCCAGCCAUGCCGCGUGAGUGAAGAAGGCCUCGG